CAAAUGAUUGACGGGGCCGCACAAGCGGUGGAGCAUGUGGUUUAAUUCGACGCAACGCGAAGAACCUUACCAGGGCUUGACAUCCCCUGACCGCGUAUGAAAGUACGUUUUCACCCUCGGGUGACAGGGAGACAGGUGGUGCAUGGUUGUCGUCAGCUCGUGUCGUGAGAUGUUGGGUUAAGUCCCGCAACGAGCGCAACCCCUACGUUUAGUUGCUAGCGCGUGAAGGCGAGCACUCUAGACGAACUGCCGUUGACAAAACGGAGGAAGGUGGGGAUGACGUCAAAUCAUCAUGCCCCUUAUGUUCUGGGCUACACGCGUGCUACAAUGGCAGGUACAGAGGGCUGCGAAGCCGCGAGGUGGAGCGAAUCCCAGAAAACCUGUCUCAGUCCGGAUUGAAGUCUGCAACUCGACUUCAUGAAGGCGGAAUCGCUAGUAACCGCGAAUCAGCAGGUCGCGGUGAAUACGUUCCCGGGCCUU
rnacentral:rRNA from 1 species